rnacentral:rRNA from 1 species
UACAGGGGGGGCAAGCGUUGUUCGGAAUUACUGGGCGUAAAGGGUUCGUAGGUGGCCACCUAAGUCAGACGUGAAAUCCCUCAGCUUAACUGGGGAACUGCGUCUGAUACUGGGUGGCUUGAGUGCAGGAGAGGAAUGCGGGAAUUCCAGGUGUAGCGGUGAAAUGCGUAGAUAUCUGGAGGAACACCGGUGGCGAAGGCGGCAUUCUGGACUGUAACUGACACUGAGGAACGAAAGCCAGGGGAGCAAACGGG